AGCAGCCGCGGUAAUUCCAGCUCCAAUAGCGUAUAUUAAAGUUGUUGCAGUUAAAAGCUCGUAGUUGAAUUUCGGGAUCAAUUUGCUGGUCGGAACCUCUGGUACGUACUGGUAUUAUUGAUUUCUUUCAUUCUGAUAGAUCAUGGAUGUCAUUAAUUUGAUGACUUUGAGGAAUCGGAACUUUUACUUUGAAAAAUUAGAGUGUUUAAAGCAGGCUUAUCAGGCUUGAAUACAUUAGCAUGGAAUAAUGAAAUAGGACGAUUGAUCCUACUUUUGUUGGUUUCUAGGAUUGACGUAAUGAUUAAUAGGGAUAGUUGGGGGCAUUAGUAUUCAAUUGUCAGAGGUGAAAUUCUUGGAUUUAUUGAAGACUAACUACUGCGAAAGCAUUUGCCAAGGAUGUUUUCAUUAAUCAAGAACGAAAGUUAGGGGAUCGAAGACGAUCAGAUACCGUCGUAGUCUUAACCAUAAACUAUGCCGACUAGGGAUCGGAUGAUGUUAAUUUUUAAUGUA
rnacentral:misc_RNA from 1 species